rnacentral:rRNA from 1 species
CACGUAGGGCGCAAGCGUUGUCCGGAAUUAUUGGGCGUAAAGAGCUCGUAGGCGGUCUGUUGCGUCCGCUGUGAAAACUCGGGGCUUAACCCCGAGCCUGCAGUGGAUACGGGCAGACUAGAGGUAGGUAGGGGAGAUCGGAAUUCCUGGUGUAGCGGUGAAAUGCGCAGAUAUCAGGAGGAACACCGGUGGCGAAGGCGGCAUCCUGGACCGGCAUUGACGCUGAGGCGCGAAAGCCAGGGGAGCAAACGGG